rnacentral:rRNA from 1 species
AUUGAACGCUAGCGGGAUGCUUUACACAUGCAAGUCGAACGAGUGGCGGACGGGUGAGGAAUAUAGCGGAACGUGCCCAGUAGCGGGGGAUAACUACGCGAAAGAGUGGCUAAUACCGCAUACGAUUGGAGCGGGCGUCAUCGGAUUAGCUAGUUGGUGGGGUAAAGGCUUACCAAGGCAACGAUCCGUAGCUGGCUUGAGAGGACGACCAGCCACACUGGGAAUGAGACACGGCCCAGACUCCUACGGGAGGCAGCAGUGGGGAAUUUUUGACAAUGGGGGAAACCCUGAUCCAGCCAUCCCGCGUGUAUGAGAAGGCCUUCGGGUUGUAAAGUACUUUUGGCAGAGAAGCGGUAUCUGCAGAAUAAGCACCGGCUAACUACGUGCCGGCAGCCGCGGUAAUUC